rnacentral:lncRNA from 1 species
AAUCUGUGUCAGCAUUUAAUAUUGUUAGUACUUUUAAUUUUAGUCAUUCUAGUAUGAGUGUAGUAAUACCUUCUUAUGGCUGUAUUUUAUUUUUAAAAUAUUUAUUUAUUUAUUUAUUUUAGGGUGAGAGCAAGCAUGCGAGAGCUCCUAUCCACUGGGUCACACCCCAGAUGCUGCAAUGGCUGGGACUGGACUGGGCUAAAGACAGACAGGCGAAAUUCAGUGUGGAUCUUUCAUGUGGAUGCAGGAACCCAGCGGAGCUAUGAAUGCUGCUUUCCAAGAACUGCAUUGGCAAGAAGCUGGGUUCAGGAGCCCAGCAUCACAUCCAGAGAAAGGGAAAACGCUGAGAAGCGGAGAGCUCCGAAGUUACUGGAAAUAGCCACGAGUCCAGGAGUCCAGCCAAUAGGAGGAAGAGAGAGAGGGCCCUGACUUGUGUUCACCGGAGCUCCCAGGGGAAGCCUCGG